GAGAAUUCCAGCUCCAAUAGCGUAUAUUAAAGUUGUUGCAGUUAAAAAGCUCGUAGUUGGAUUUCGGAAGGUCUUUAGUGGUCCGCCCCUUCGGGGAGCGGGUCACUGGCCUCCUAUGUUCCUAACGGUCCUCAUCCGCGAGGGUGGGGAAUCAACCGCUAGGAUCGUUUACUUUGAGGAAAUUAGAGUGUUCAAAGCAGGCGUAACUCGCCUCCGAAUACGUUAGCAUGGGAUAAUGGAAUACGACUUCGGUCUUGUUUCGUUGGUUUCGCUUGGCUGAAGUAAUGAUUGAUAGGGACAGUUGGGGGCAUUAGUAUUUAGUUGUCAGAGGUGAAAUUCUAGGAUUUACUAAAGACUGACCAAUGCGAAAGCAUUUGCCAAGGAUGUUUUCAUUAAUCAAGAACGAAAGUAGGGGGAUCGAAGACGAUCAGAUACCGUCGUAGUCUCUACCGUAAACUAUGCCGACCAGGGAUCCGGAGAGUUUGCAUGGAUGACUCCCCGGGCACCUUGUGAGAAAUCAUAAGUGUUUGGGUUUUGGGGGGAGUAUGGUCGCAAGGCUGAAACUUAAAGGAAUUGACGGAAGGGCACCACCAGGAGUGGAACCUGCGGCUUAAUUCGGCUCAACA
rnacentral:rRNA from 1 species